GUGGGUUUAGCACAGCGGUAGUUGCGAGAGAUUGCAACGCAAAGCAAACGGGAUCCAACCGUUGCUUCUAAGGUAUCUCUAGGUCCCCGGUUCGAUCCCGGGAACUCACU